AUGAACAAAAAGUCUUAUCAACAUGAAUUUAUCUACUAUUGUGAGGUUGUUCUAUCAAUCAGCUGGCUGAGUGAUCUGUGAUCAGUGUAUUUUUGUAUCCAACAUGGCUAUUCUGUGACUUGCCAUGUUGGAGGGUUGAACGGAUCCUUAGUGAAGCCUGUCUUUAAAUGCUCGUGUGCUACUUCAUAGAAGUUAUAAGCAUCUUCAACUUUUUUGUCAUUUGUCAUAAUUGCACUAAUUAGAUAUUCACAAACCAUAGGUAUUCAGAAACCAUCAAUCACAUUUGAAGUUAGUUCUUCACUACAAGGGAUAUAAAAAUAUUGUGGUUGAUUGGCAGGAGAAAUUUAUAGCAUCUAGACAUUGUUUUAUGAUUGAUUUGGAUGAGGUCACCCGAACCCAUGACUGCAAUUCUGUUAAUGCAAGGUUUUUUUUCUUCUUUUCCCUAUUGCCUGCCUUGCCUUUCUCACCAAACAUUUAUGCUUGUUUCUCAGAGUACCUAGUAGUCAGGUGGCUUCUGCGAACUGUUGAACGUGGGUUGUGUUUUCUGGACUAGGAAUGAUAUGUGUGUCCCUUUUAUUCCAGUAAACCUUUUAGGACUUUCUCCAUAUCGAGAUAAGGUUUGAGAUUUCCAUGGCCAGGAAACUGGCUCUAAGCUGCUGGAUAGUAUCCUUCAAAUGGAGGCAUUUGGGCACUUGGCAACUGUUUUCACUAUUUGCUGCUGGGAGUUAAAACAUUACUUUCAGAAUAGGGAUAUUUUGCUAACACUAGCAUGGGAUGAAAAGUUUGAUUAUGGAUGGUCCUAUCAGAAAACAUUAUUCUCUGUACCAUCAGAUUCAUUCUCUUUAUACAGCAAACAGAUUGGUAGGAUGACCAUGGGACAGACUUCCAGUUUGUCCAGACUUUACAAUUGGGAGGGACUUCUACUUUCUGAUGAUGUUCCUCCUAUUCAUUUUCCAUGAGAAGCUAGGGGGUGAUGUUAGGGAUUAGUUUUGCAGCUUAUCAUGUUAAUACUGCCAUAUGUUUUCGGCCCUUAAAGAUGUUUAUCUCCAUCUUGGUUGUAGCCCUGUAGGGCAAUGGCCAUGGAUUCUGGUCAGGUAGAUAUACUCACACGUCUUCUAUUGAAAAUCUUAUUUAUGUCGGAUAACAGGUACAGUUUGGCGCAUAUGCAGUCACUGUAGUUUAUGCUUUUCUAAUGAGGCAAUUGCCACAAUAAAACAGGGUCGUCUAAAGAUUUUACAGUUCGAUAAUGUCCAUGAUGAAUUCUAAUUAUCUGUUGGAUUUCCAAAUACGUCGCGCAGCAGACGAAAGAUGUGGGAAUCUAACUAAUGUCUAAAUACCAUUAGAUUUUAAGAACUUGGAAUUGCAACUAAUAGAGGAUGGAUUGUUCUGAUAUUUGUCAUUUUCUGGGUCUGAUUGGAACUAUAUGUAUGCUUGUGAACUGGGGAUCAACUGGGAAUCAUAGCUUCUGAACUUUUAGCUAGUUGAUUGGAUGCAGACUGCUGGUUGCAUCUACUUGUAGAAUCAAGCCAUCAUUUCCUUCCUUUUUCAGUAGAGAGUAGGUCUUGUGAUUAGUGCU
rnacentral:lncRNA from 1 species